GAUGAAGAACGCAGCAAAAUGCGAUACGUAAUGUGAAUUGCAGAAUUCAGUGAAUCAUCGAGUCUUUGAACGCACAUUGCGCCCCCUGGUAUUCCGGGGGGCAUGCCUGUCCGAGCGUCAUUGCUGCCCUCAAGCACGGCUUAUGUGUUGGGCCUCCGUCCUCCUCCCGGGGGACGGGCCCGAAAGGCAGCGGCGGCACCGCGUCCGGUCCUCGAGCGUAUGGGGCUUCGUCACCCGCUCUUGUAGGCCCGGCCGGCGCUUGCCGACACAUCAAUCUUUUUUCCAGGUUGACCUCGGAUCAGGUAGGGAUACCCGCUGAACUUAAGCAUAUCAAUAAGCGGAGGA
rnacentral:misc_RNA from 1 species